GAUGAACUAUUUAUGAAUGUAUAUCACAUGUGUCACCUUUUGUAUACUAACUCUGAUUAAUGAAAGCUUCCUAUUUCACUUAUAUAACUUUGUACUAGUAGUUUGGAGUUGGAUUGUAUAAUUAUUUCCGGGGCGUUACAAUAUCUCCAUCUUUGUCACUUAUUUAUGAUGUUCUCGAUUUAGAUUAGAGGCAAAGGAUAAAAUGUUAUGGACAUGGGAAUUUAAUGGUCAAUAUUGUGUAGCUUCAUUUGUAAUCAUCAUCAGGCUUCUUAUGGUCUCUCAAGAAUGGAAGGAAGUUGUAGACAUUAUCCUAGUGGAACAAUGCACCAGGUAAAGGCCUAUAAGGAGAUAAAGGAGUACUUAAUUAACAACUUCAUUACUUGCAUAGAUCAGGUAAGGGAGUAUAAAUUGUAAUUUGGUUUUGAGAUCUAGUAAUUUAAAAGUAUUAAGAAAGUUUUGUAAUGGUUUCUUAUAAUUUUGCUUUUUAAGAGUUUGCUUCCAAGUUGGAACCCUUAUAUUACUUAUUAAUAAAAUUUUCUUUUGCCCCAAAAACAUUUCUUUACACAUCACUAUCAUGUAUGGUGAUU